rnacentral:rRNA from 2 species
AACGCCGCGUGAGUGAAGAAGGCUUUCGGGUCGUAAAACUCUGUUGUUGGAGAAGAAUGGUCGGCAGAGUAACUGUUGUCGGCGUGACGGUAUCCAACCAGAAAGCCACGGCUAACUACGUGCCAGCAGCCGCGGUAAUACGUAGGUGGCAAGCGUUAUCCGGAUUUAUUGGGCGUAAAGCGAGCGCAGGCGGUUUUUUAAGUCUGAUGUGAAAGCCCUCGGCUUAACCGAGGAAGUGCAUCGGAAACUGGGAAACUUGAGUGCAGAAGAGGACAGUGGAACUCCAUGUGUAGCGGUGAAAUGCGUAGAUAUAUGGAAGAACACCAGUGGCGAAGGCGGCUGUCUGGUCUGUAACUGACGCUGAGGCUCGAAAGCAUGGGUAGCGAACAGGAUUAGAUACCCUGGUAGUCCAUGCCGUAAACGAUGAAUGCUAGGUGUUGGAGGGUUUCCGCCCUUCAGUGCUGCAGCUAACGCAUUAAGCAUUCCGCCUGGGGAGUACGACCGCAAGGUUGAAACUCAAAGGAAUUGACGGGGGCCCGCACAAGCGGUGGAGCAUGUGGUUUAAUUCGAAGCAACGCGAAGAACCUUACCAGGUCUUGACAUCUU